UACGUAGGGGGCUAGCGUUGUCCGGAAUCAUUGGGCGUAAAGCGCGCGUAGGCGGCCCAGUAAGUCCGUUGUAAAAGUCAAAGGCUCAACCUUUGAAAGCCGAUGGAUACUGCUGGGCUAGAGUCCGGAAGAGGCGACUGGAAUUCCUGGUGUAGCGGUGGAAUGCGCAGAUAUCAGGAGGAACACCGGUGGCGAAGGCGGGUCUCUGGGCAGUAACUGACGCUGAGGAGCGAAAGCGUGGGGAGCGAACAGG
rnacentral:rRNA from 1 species